GUUAUUGAGACACAGCCUGGUGAUAGAAGAUAUCUUCUAUACCGACUAUGGAGGCGGACAGCGGAGCCGCCAGAGGAUUUAUAGAGUCCUGUUUUACGUUUAUUGGGACAACCGCUUUAUUGGAACAAAAUAACACUCAAUCACAAUGUGUCCCAAUAAAGCGGAAUCGACUGUUAUAAUAACAUACCUAAUUAAUAUGCUGUAUCGGGCAACGCACACACCUAGGUGUAUAACAUAUUGUUAUGUACCGAAUACCAUUAUUUAGUCUUAUAUACACGUGUAGUCGUGUAGGUUCCGUCGGUUCCGAUAAAGAGCAAGCCGGUAAUCACGACUGUACACACGUCUUGUCGGCGAGUCAGCCCAACACUCAAACAACCGCAAUCAGCAAUCAGCUUAAGCCUAGUUCAGUAUAGUAACUAAAUAUAUUUAGUAAAUAUGUAAUUUAUAAAUGUAAUAUUGCGAUAGGUAGCUUAAUAUUUUCAAAACAGUGUGUAUAUUAAUAUCAAGCAGUUGUUUUAAUUUAAUUUUAAUAUUGGUUUGAUACUUUUUAAUACAAUUUAUUAUGCACAUUAUACUGAUCGUUUAGUAUUAAUAGAAGAAAAUGGUAAAAAAACUCAACAG